UAGGGAAUCUUCGGCAAUGGGGGGAACCCUGACCGAGCAACGCCGCGUGAGUGAAGAAGGUUUUCGGAUCGUAAAGCUCUGUUGUUAGAGAAGAACAGCGCAUAGAGUAACUGUUAUGCGUGUGACGGUAUCUAACCAGAAAGCCACGGCUAACUACGUGCCAGCAGCCGCGGUAAUACGUAGGUGGCAAGCGUUGUCCGGAUUUAUUGGGCGUAAAGCGAGCGCAGGCGGAAAUGCAAGUCAGGUGUAAAAGGCAGUAGCUUAACUACUGUAAGCAUUUGAAACUGCAUAUCUUGAGAAGAGUAGAGGUAAGUGGAAUUUUUAGUGUAGCGGUGAAAUGCGUAGAUAUUAAAAAGAAUACCGGUGGCGAAGGCGACUUACUGGGCUCAUUCUGACGCUGAGGAACGAAAGCGUGGGUAGCAAACAGG
rnacentral:rRNA from 1 species